rnacentral:rRNA from 1 species
GACGAACUUUGGCGGCGUGCUUAACACAUGCAAGUCGAACGGAAAGGCCCUGCUUUUGUGGGGUGCUCGAGUGGCGAACGGGUGAGUAACACGUGAGUAACCUGCCCUUGACUUUGGGAUAACUUCAGGAAACUGGGGCUAAUACCGGAUAGGAGCUCCUGCUGCAUGGUGGGGGUUGGAAAGUUUCGGCGGUUGGGGAUGGACUCGCGGCUUAUCAGCUUGUUGGUGGGGUAGUGGCUUACCAAGGCUUUGACGGGUAGCCGGCCUGAGAGGGUGACCGGCCACAUUGGGACUGAGAUACGGCCCAGACUCCUACGGGAGGCAGCAGUGGGGAAUAUUGCACAAUGGGCGGAAGCCUGAUGCAGCAACGCCGCGUGCGGGAUGACGGCCUUCGGGUUGUAAACCGCUUUCGCCUGUGACGAAGCGUGUGUGACGGUAAUGGGUAAAGAAGCACCGGCUAACUACGUGCCAGCAGCCGCGGUGAUACGUAGGGUGCGAGCGUUGUCCGGAUUUAUUGGGCGUAAAGGGCUCGUAGGUGGUUGAUCGCGUCGGAAGUGUAAUCUUGGGGCUUAACCCUGAGCGUGCUUUCGAUACGGGUUGACUUGAGGAAGGUAGGGGAGAAUGGAAUUCCUGGUGGAGCGGUGGAAUGCGCAGAUAUCAGGAGGAACACCAGUGGCGAAGGCGGUUCUCUGGGCCUUUCCUGACGCUGAGGAGCGAAAGCGUGGGGAGCGAACAGGCUUAGAUACCCUGGUAGUCCACGCUGUAAACGGUGGGUACUAGGUGUGGGGUCCAUUCCACGGGUUCCGUGCCGUAGCUAACGCUUUAAGUACCCCGCCUGGGGAGUACGGCCGCAAGGCUAAAACUCAAAGGAAUUGACGGGGCCCCGCACAAGCGGCGGAGCAUGCGGAUUAAUUCGAUGCAACGCGUAGAACCUUACCUGGGUUUGACAUGGAUCGGGAGUGCUCAGAGAUGGGUGUGCCUCUUUUGGGGUCGGUUCACAGGUGGUGCAUGCCUGUCGUCAGCUCGUGUCGUGAGAUGUUGGGUUAAGUCCCGCAACGAGCGCAACCCUUGUUCACUGUUGCCAGCACGUUAUGGUGGGGACUCAGUGGAGACCGCCGGGGUCAACUCGGAGGAAGGUGGGGAUGACGUCAAGUCCUCAUGCCCCUUAUGUCCAGGGCUUCACGCAUGCUACAAUGGCUGGUACAGAGAGUGGCGAGCCUGUGAGGGUGAGUGAAUCUCGGAAAGCCGGUCUCAGUUCGGAUUGGGGUCUGCAACUCGACCUCAUGAAGUCGGAGUCGCUAGUAAUCGCAAAACAGCAACUCUGCUGUUGAAUACGUUCCCGGGGCC